AGCCGAGAUAGCUUCCUGAAACGUGUGAAGGA
rnacentral:piRNA from 1 species